rnacentral:rRNA from 1 species
CAGCCGCCGCGGUAAUACGUAGGGNGCAAGCGUUAAUCGGAAUUACUGGGCGUAAAGCGUGCGCAGGCGGUCUUUUAAGACAGAUGUGUAAUCCCCGGGCUUAACCUGGGAACNNCAUUUGUGACUGAAAGGCUAGAGUACGGCAGAGGGGGAUGGAAUUCCGCGUGUAGCAGUGAAAUGNGUAGAUAUGCGGAGGAACACCGAUGGCGAAGGCAGUCCCCUAGGCCAGUACUGACGCUCAUGCACGAAAGCGUGGGGGGCAAACAGGAUUAGAUACCCUGGUAGUCCACNCCCUAAACGAUGUCAACUGGUUGUUGGGCCUUUGCUGGCUCAGUAACGAAGCUAACGCGUGAAGUUGACCGCCUGGGGAGUACGGCCGCAAGGUUGAAACUUAAAGGAAUUGACGG